UAGCUCAAUUGGUUAGAGCGUUGUGCUCAUAACGCGGAAGUCACAAGUUCGAUUGCAAUCCGUAUUGGGCCUACCA
rnacentral:tRNA from 1 species